AGGACGAACGCUGGCGGCGCGCUUAACACAUGCAAGUCGAGCGAGAACCAGUCCUUCGGGACUGGGGACAGCGGCGAACGGGUGAGUAACACGUGGGUAAUCUGCCCUCGAUUCUGGGAUAGCCCGGGGAAACCGGAUUAAUACCGGAUAGCCUCUCGAGCUCUCGAGCUCUUGAGAAAA
rnacentral:rRNA from 1 species